rnacentral:rRNA from 2 species
GCAGUCGAGCGAACUGAUUAGAAGCUUGCUUCUAUGACGUUAGCGGCGGACGGGUGAGUAACACGUGGGCAACCUGCCUGUAAGACUGGGAUAACUUCGGGAAACCGAAGCUAAUACCGGAUAGGAUCUUCUCCUUCAUGGGAGAUGAUUGAAAGAUGGUUUCGGCUAUCACUUACAGAUGGGCCCGCGGUGCAUUAGCUAGUUGGUGAGGUAACGGCUCACCAAGGCAACGAUGCAUAGCCGACCUGAGAGGGUGAUCGGCCACACUGGGACUGAGACACGGCCCAGACUCCUACGGGAGGCAGCAGUAGGGAAUCUUCCGCAAUGGACGAAAGUCUGACGGAGCAACGCCGCGUGAGUGAUGAAGGCUUUCGGGUCGUAAAACUCUGUUGUUAGGGAAGAACAAGUACAAGAGUAACUGCUUGUACCUUGACGGUACCUAACCAGAAAGCCACGGCUAACUACGUGCCAGCAGCCGCGGUAAUACGUAGGUGGCAAGCGUUAUCCGGAAUUAUUGGGCGUAAAGCGCGCGCAGGCGGUUUCUUAAGUCUGAUGUGAAAGCCCACGGCUCAACCGUGGAGGGUCAUUGGAAACUGGGGAACUUGAGUGCAGAAGAGAAAAGCGGAAUUCCACGUGUAGCGGUGAAAUGCGUAGAGAUGUGGAGGAACACCAGUGGCGAAGGCGGCUUUUUGGUCUGUAACUGA